GACGAACGCUGGCGGCGUGCCUAAUACAUGCAAGUUGAGCGCUGAAGGUUGGUACUUGUACCAACUGGAUGAGCAGCGAACGGGUGAGUAACGCGUGGGGAAUCUGCCUUUGAGCGGGGGACAACAUUUGGAAACGAAUGCUAAUACCGCAUAAAAACUUUAAACACAAGUUUUAAGUUUGAAGGAUGCAAUUGCAUCACUCAAAGAUGAUCCCGCGUUGUAUUAGCUAGUUGGUGAGGUAAAGGCUCACCAAGGCGAUGAUACAUAGCCGACCUGAGAGGGUGAUCGGCCACAUUGGGACUGAGACACGGCCCAAACUCCUACGGGAGGCAGCAGUAGGGAAUCUACGGCAAUGGACGAAAGUCUGACCGAGCAACGCCGCGUGAGUGAAGAAGGUUUUCGGAUCGUAAAACUCUGUUGGUAGAGAAGAACGUUGGUGAGAGUGGAAAGCUCAUCAAGUGACGGUAACUACCCAGAAAGGGACGGCUAACUACGUG
rnacentral:rRNA from 1 species